UAUGGAUACUGAGGACACAAGCAAUACUUUCAAACUUUUGAUAGAAAAUGACUCUGUACCUAGAAUUUGUUACCCAGCAAAACUAUCAAUCCAGUACAGGGAAAAAAUAAAGACAUUUUCCAAUAUUUUCUUGUGGAAGGACACAUGACUGUGAUGACGGAAUCUCCAAGGGACUUCCCCUGCCAUCAUCAAGCCUAGAACCAUCCUUGAUGGAUGCUCUCUGAGUUGUGGAGUCACAGCUCCAUGGAACUGGAGUACAGUUUGGUGAGAGAAUUAUUGGGAGGGUUUUCUUCUUUAAAUAGUUUAAAUAAAGUUGUGGGAGUGCUUUCCUGGAGUUUGGGAGCAUGCGUGACUCCAGAGACCGGUGCUUAUUGGUCACCUCGAUAAUUUUAAAGACAAGGAGAGGCUGACUGAAGUUUCCUCUGGCAGCUGAGGGCAGCUAUGAGGGAAAGCCGCAUUUAGAGGACAGGGCAUCAAGGGCUAAAUGGAUGCCAGGCAGGUGGCAAGGCUCAAGUCUGCUUGAAAGAUCUUUGUCUUCCUGAGUGAGGAGGCCUUGGC
rnacentral:lncRNA from 1 species